ACGGCCAUAUCCCGCGGAAACACCGAUUCCCGUACAAUCACCGAAGUUAAGCAACGUAAUGCACGGUCAGUAUUUAGAUGGUUGAACGCUUGGGAAUACCAGGCGCUGUAAU